GCCGUCCACGCUCCACCCACCUCCCUCCUCCUCUCUCUCCUUGCGCGAUGCAGACCACGCCGCCACGAUCCAGAUCAAGCCGAGGGCGCGGCACGAAAAAUGUUAGCGCCAACAUUUGGCCCAACUGGCGCGCAGUUUUCAUUUUCCUCCCAAACCAGUAAUAAUAAGUCUCCACCGCCGCCAAAACUGAACCCUAAAUCCCCAAAUCCACCAAGCACCCGCCGCUCCGAGCUCUCCCGGCCGCCUCUCGACCACGCCUGCGCCGCUCGAAUUGGGCACCGCCGCAACACCGUCCUGCCGGCCCCCAAGCGCUCGAGCUCUCUCCCCCGCCCGACUUCGGUCGGCGGCGGCGCUACCGGUCCGGCAAGCACGACCUGCCCCGACUCGCUCGGCUCGCCCGCGCUGCAACGCCUUCCUGGCGCCACCAUGCGCUCGACCUCGCCGGCUGGCGCCAGCGCUCGCAUCCGGUAGCGAACUGAGAGCCCUGCCGUUCGGAAGUUGCCGCUAUCGCUGCUCACAUCCAGCUGCAGCUCGUGGUGAUUUUCAUCUACGCCAAACCCAGUGAGGUUUCUUGCUCCCAGCGACUCACUCCCAGGGAUGAGACAACGACACCCCCUCCCUGGUUGUCACUGUUUUCAGGAUUCUUGUUCCCGGCGACUCAAGAGUUCAUUGCUGUGGCGCAAAAAUCGCCAUCCCUGCUUAUCACUGCCUCCCCACUAGUUGGCGUGUGGAGCUCGAGGGGCAGCCAGCGCCGGCCUCGUCGGCGAUCAUGUCGGACGGAAGCCGCACAGGGUGGCCUCCUUCCGCGUCCCCUCAAUCCUGCAGGCCGCCCAAACUCGCUGUUCCCAGCCACAAGCACGGCGGCUUCCUCUGCCCCGACCACCGUCGACCUGGUCCUUGGGCCAUCCGCAAGCGCAUCUUGGUAGUUAACUCAUCCGCUGGUUAGCGAAGAUUGCAAAAUGUUUACUAUUGCGAAACCCCAAAACUACAUGGUCGUGCUUAUUUGUCCUUCUGAAUCCAAUUGUCAUAGCUCGACAACAGUUUGAAAGGCAGACUUGGAAACACUCACACUUCCCUUUCCUUUGUCUAUGCUUGGUCUGUCAUGGAAGUAAAAUUGCAGAAUAGCCCAUCAUGAUUGGGGUGAGUUUAUAAGAUUUCGCCGGAUUGGCUGCACAUUGGAGAAGACUAUGGGUAUUCGUUUCAAAAUCUCACCAGGUACUAGCUGAAUGUAAGGUUGCUGUCAAGAGGAAUUUGUUGAGAGGAUCAUGGCUGCAUGCAAGCAAGCUGAUAUUUUGUUGUUAGAUGCUUAGAUGCUUGAAAUACUAGUAUGAUGUCAAGCGUUCAUAAGUUUUGGGGACCUGAUGUAGUCUUAGGCUGUAACUCUAUGUGUUUGUAAAUUUUUUUUGUGAAUAUCUGUCGGUUAUAUGUU